GUGCUUGCUUCGGCAGCACAUAUACUAAAAUUGGAACAAUACAGGGAAAAUUAGCAUGGCCACUGCACAUGGAUGGCACGCAAAUUCGUGAAGCGUUUCCAUAUUUU